CCCACAACCACAGGGGAACU
rnacentral:misc_RNA from 1 species